CAACCACAGCCUGCAGCCGGCCUCCCUCCCCACUGGGCCUGGGCUUAGUCCCUGGUUUCCGCUGACAGCCUGUAGGGCCCACUCUCUCUAGGCUUCGUGGCCCACCUGGGAAAUGGGAGGCUGGCCUGGGAGAUGCGACCUGUGACUCAGAACCCGAGGCUGAGUACAGCCCCUGUGGCUGGAGGUGGUCACGGAGGCCUGGCAGGACAGAUGCACUGGGGCAGGGGGCGGUGGC
rnacentral:lncRNA from 1 species